rnacentral:rRNA from 1 species
GUGGGGAAUAUUGGACAAUGGGCGCAAGCCUGAUCCAGCCAUGCCGCGUGAGUGAUGAAGGCCUUAGGGUUGUAAAGCUCUUUUGUCCGGGAAGAUAAUGACUGUACCGGAAGAAUAAGCCCCGGCUAACUUCGUGCCAGCAGCCGCGGUAAUACGAAGGGGGCUAGCGUUGUUCGGAAUCACUGGGCGUAAAGCGCACGUAGGCGGACCAUUAAGUCAGGGGGGAAAGCCUGGAGCUCAACUCCAGAACUGCCUUUGAUACUGAUGGUCUCGAGUAUGGAAGAGGUUGGUGGAACUGCGAGUGUAGAGGUGAAAUUCGUAGAUAUUCGCAAGAACACCGGUGGCGAAGGCGGCCAACUGGUCCAUUACUGACGCUGAGGUGCGAAAGCGUGGGGAGCAAACAGGAUUAGAAACCCGAGUAGUCC